UACAGAGACUGCAAGCGUUAUUCGGAUUCACUGGGCGUAAAGGGUGCGCAGGCGGCCAGAUGUGUCAGGUGUGAAAUCCCGGGGCUCAACCCCGGAACUGCGCCUGAAACUAUCUGGCUAGGGCAUUGGAGAGGGAAGUGGAAUUCACGGUGUAGCAGUGAAAUGCGUAGAUAUCGUGAGGAACACCAGAGGCGAAGGCGACUUCCUGGACAAUUGCUGACGCUCAGGCACGAAAGCGUGGGGAGCCAAAGGG
rnacentral:rRNA from 1 species